GGGAUUGCCUUAGUAACGGCGAGUGAAGCGGCAAUAGCUCAAAUUUGAAAGCUGGCGUCUUCGACGUCCGCGUUGUAAUUUGUAGAGGAUGCUUCGGCGAGGACUCCUGCCUAAGUCCCCUGGAACGGGGCGUCACAGAGGGUGAGAAUCCCGUAUGUGGCGGGCGGUCCAAGCCAUGUGAAGCUCCUUCGACGAGUCGAGUUGUUUGGGAAUGCAGCUCUAAAUGGGAGGUAAAUUUCUUCUAAAGCUAAAUAUUGGCCAGAGACCGAUAGCGCACAAGUAGAGUGAUCGAAAGAUGAAAAGCACUUUGGAAAGAGAGUUAAAAAGUACGUGAAAUUGUUGAAAGGGAAGCGCUUGCAACCAGACUCGCUCGCAGUUGCUCAGCCGGCCUCUUGGCCGGUGUACUCUUCUGCGAUCGGGCCAGCAUCAGUUCGGGCGGCUGGAUAAAGGUGCCGGGAAUGUAGCACCCUUCGGGGUGUGUUAUAGCCCGGCGCGGAAUGCGGCCAGCCUGGACUGAGGAUCUCGCUUCGGCAAGGAUGCUGGCGUAAUGGUUGUAAGCGGCCCGUCUUGAAACACGGACCAAGGAGUCUAACAUCUAUGCGAGUGUUUGGGUGUCAAACCCAUGCGCGUAAUGAAAGUGAACGGAGGUGGGAACCCUUCACGGGGUGCACCAUCGACCGAUCCUGAUGUCUUCGGAUGGAUUUGAGUAAGAGCAUAGCUGUUGGGACCCGAAAGAUGGUGAACUAUGCCUGAAUAGGGUGAAGCCAGAGGAAACUCUGGUGGAGGCUCGCAGCGGUUCUGACGUGCAAAUCGAUCGUCAAAUUUGGGUAUAGGGGCGAAA
rnacentral:rRNA from 1 species